CUUCACCGAGCCGAGGAGCAGCGGGCGCUCCGGGUCACGAUCGCGCCCGUACUCGGCCAGGAGCGCCUGCGCCUC
rnacentral:antisense_RNA from 1 species